CAGAAAAGAGUUUUAAAUAUUUACUUUGGGUGUAAAAGAGUAGGGCGCAAAUCCUAUUUUCUGA
rnacentral:tRNA from 1 species